UACGAAGGGGGCUAGCGUUGUUCGGAAUUACUGGGCGUAAAGCGCGCGUAGGCGGUCUUUCGCGUAGGCGGUGAAAGCCCCCCGGCUCACCCGGGGGAGGUCCGUCUAAACGGGGAGACUCGAGGGCGGUAGGGGCCGGUGGAACGCCCGGAGUAGCGGUGAAAUGCGUUGAGAUCGGGCAGAACACCAGUGGCGAAGGCGGCCGGCUGGGCCGUACCUGACGCUGAGGCGCGAAAGCCAGGGGAGCGGAACGGA
rnacentral:rRNA from 1 species